CCUACGGGGCGCAGCAGUGAGGAAUAUUGGUCAAUGGGCGGGAGCCUGAACCAGCCAAGUCGCGUGAGGGAAGACGGUCCUAUGGAUUGUAAACCUCUUUAGGCGGGGAGCAAUGCCGGGCACGCGUGUCCGGAGGGAGAGUACCCGCAGAAUAAGCAUCGGCUAACUCCGUGCCAGCAGCCGCGGUAAUACGUAGGGGGCAAGCGUUAUCCGGAUUUACUGGGUGUAAAGGGAGCGUAGGUGGCAUGGUAAGCCAGAAGUGAAAACCCAGGGCUCAACUCUGUGGAUUGCUUUUGGAACUAUCA
rnacentral:rRNA from 1 species